rnacentral:rRNA from 1 species
GAUGAACGCUGGCGGCGUGCCUAAUACAUGCAAGUCGAGCGAACGGACGAGAAGCUUGCUUCUCUGAUGUUAGCGGCGGACGGGUGAGUAACACGUGGAUAACCUACCUAUAAGACUGGGAUAACUUCGGGAAACCGGAGCUAAUACCGGAUGAUAUUUUGAACCGCAUGGUUCAAAAGUGAAAGACGGUCUUGCUGUCACUUAUAGAUGGAUCCGCGCUGCAUUAGCUAGUUGGUAAGGUAACGGCUUACCAAGGCAACGAUGCAUAGCCGACCUGAGAGGGUGAUCGGCCACACUGGAACUGAGACACGGUCGAGACUCCUACGGGAGGCAGCAGUAGGGAAUCUUCCGAAAUGGGCGAAAGCCUGACGGAGCAACGCCGCGUGAGUGAUGAAGGUCUUCGGAUUGUAAAACUCUGUUAUUAGGGAAGAAAAUAUGUGUAAGUAACUGUGCACAUCUUGACGGUACCUAAUCAGAAAGCCACGGCUAACUACG